GGGCCUGUAGCUCAGACGGGAACAGAGCGUCCGCCUUCUAAGCGGAGGGUCGCAGGUUCGAGUCCUGCCAGGCCCG
rnacentral:tRNA from 1 species